UCGAGAGGCUUUGGCAAUGGGGGAAACCCUGACCAAGCGACGCCGCGUGGAGGAUGAAGGCCCUUGGGUUGUAAACUCCUUUUGCAGGGGAAGAAAUGCGAUCAGGUGAAUAAUCUGGUCGUUUGACGGUACCCUGCGAAUAAGCUCCGGCUAACUUCGUGCCAGCAGCCGCGGUAAUACGAAGGGGGCAAGCGUUGUUCGGAAUUACUGGGCGUAAAGGGCGCGUAGGCGGCUUACCAAGUCAGGCGUGAAAUUCCCGGGCUCAACCUGGGGGCUGCGCUUGAUACUGGUGAGCUUGGAUGCGGGAGAGGAUAGUGGAAUUCCCAGUGUAGAGGUGAAAUUCGUAGAUAUUGGGAAGAACACCGGUGGCGAAGGCGGCUAUCUGGCCCGUGAUUGACGCUGAGGCGCGAAAGCGUGGGGAGCAAA
rnacentral:rRNA from 1 species